CGCUAGCGACAGGCCUAACACAUGCAAGUCGAGGGGCAGCACAAGGAGUAAUCUGAGGUGGCGACCGGCGCACGGGUGAGUAACACGUAUGCAACCUGGCUGUAAGAGGGGGAAUAACCCGGAGAAAUCCGGACUAAUACCGCAUAAUACUUAGAAUCCGCAUGGAUUUUAAGUUAAACAUUUAUGGCUUACAGAUGGGCAUGCGUAUGAUUAGCUGGUUGGAGAGGUAACGGCUCCCCAAGGCAACGAUCAUUAGGGGUUCUGAGAGGAAGGUCCCCCACACUGGUACUGAGACACGGACCAGACUCCUACGGGAGGCAGCAGUGAGGAAUAUUGGUCAAUGGACGCAAGUCUGAACCAGCCAAGUUCCGCGUGAAGGAAGAAUGUCCUAUGGAUUGUAAACUUCUUUUGAAGGGGAAUAAAGUACGGUACGUGUACCGUUUUGUAUGUACCCUUCGAAUAAGGAUCGGCUAACUCCGUGCCAGCAGCUGC
rnacentral:rRNA from 1 species